GAUGAACGCUGGCGGCGUGCCUAAUACAUGCAAGUCGAGCGAACAGAUGAGGAGCUUGCUCCUCUGACGUUAGCGGCGGACGGGUGAGUAACACGUGUAUAACCUACCUAUAAGACUGGUAUAACUUCGGGAAACCGGAGCUAAUACCGGAUAAUAUAUUGAACCGCAUGGUUCAAUAGUGAAAGACGGUUUUGCUGUCACUUAUAGAUGGAUCCGCGCCGCAUUAGCUAGUUGGUAAGGUAACGGCUUACCAAGGCAACGAUGCGUAGCCGACCUGAGAGGGGGAUCGGCCACCCUGGAACUGAGACACGGUCCAGACUCCUACGGGAGGCAGCAGUAGGGAAUCUUCCGCAAUGGGCGAAAGCCUGACGGAGCAACGCCGCGUGAGUGAUGAAGGUCUUCGGAUCGUAAAACUCUGUUAUUAGGGAAGAACAAAUGUGUAAGUAACUAUGCACGUCUUGACGGUACCUAAUCAGAAAGCCACGGCUAACUACGUG
rnacentral:rRNA from 1 species